UACGAGGGGGGCAAGCGUUGUUCGGAAUUAUUGGGCGUAAAGGGCUCGUAGGUGGUUCGGUAAGUCGGGUGUGAAACCUCCAGGCUCAACCUGGAGACGCCACCCGAUACCGCUGUGACUGGAGUCCGGUAGGGGAGCGUGGAAUUCCUGGUGUAGCGGUGAAAUGCGCAGAUAUCAGGAGGAACACCAGCGGCGAAGGCGGCGCUCUGGGCCGGUACUGACAC
rnacentral:rRNA from 1 species